rnacentral:rRNA from 1 species
UGGGGAAUUUUGGACAAUGGGCGAAAGCCUGAUCCAGCAAUGCCGCGUGUGUGAAGAAGGCCUUCGGGUUGUAAAGCACUUUUGUCCGGAAAGAAAUCCUUGGCUCUAAUACAGUCGGGGGAUGACGGUACCGGAAGAAUAAGCACCGGCUAACUACGUGCCAGCAGCCGCGGUAAUACGUAGGGUGCAAGCGUUAAUCGGAAUUACUGGGCGUAAAGCGUGCGCAGGCGGUUUGCUAAGACCGAUGUGAAAUCCCCGGGCUCAACCUGGGAACUGCAUUGGUGACUGGCAGGCUAGAGUAUGGCAGUAGGGGGGUAGAAUUCCACGUGUAGCAGUGAAAUGCGUAGAGAUGUGGAGGAAUACCGAUGGCAAAGGCAGCCCCCUGGGCCAAAUACUGACGCUCAUGCACGAAAGCGUGGGGAGCAAACAGGAUUAGAUACCCUGGUAGUCCACGCCCUAAACGAUGUCAACUAGGUUGUUGGGGAUUCAUUUCCUUAGUAACGUAGCUAACGCGUGAAGUUGACCGCCUGGGGAGUACGGUCGCAAGAUUAAAACUCAAAUGAAUUGAC